UAAUACUAGCGGUCCAAGUCGCAGCCAUUUUUAUUGGGUCUAAAACAUCCGUAGCUUGCUUGAUAAGUUUCUUGUGAAAUUCUAUGUCUCAAACAUAGACCGUGCAAGAAGUACUGUCAAGCUAGAGACUGGUAGACGUAAGAAGUACGUUCGGAGUAGCGGUAAAAUGUGUUAAUCCCGGACGGACUCACGAUAGCGAAGGCAUCUUACGAGAACAGUUCUGACAGUAAGGGAUGAAGGCUAGGGGCGCAAAACGGAUUAGAUACCCGUGUAGUCCUAGCAGUAAACACUGCACACUAAACAUUAGUACCUCCUCGAGAGGUAUUAGUGCUGAAGGGAAGCCGAAGAGUGUGCUACCUGGGAAGUAUAGUCGCAAGGCCG
rnacentral:rRNA from 1 species